AGAGCAAAGGAUAGACAGCACCCUCGCAGCUUGCUGCUUGGGGCUACCGGACUUCCGUCAGGUUUAGGGUCGUCAGGCCUCUCGGAGAAGCCUGGUCCUGAACUCCACCCUUGAAUAAAUUACCUUUGUUGCUUUGGCAGGCCGCCUCGUGCCAGCGGCUUCGGCUGUUGAGUGCCUGCCAGAGGACCACAACUCUUGUUUUUAGUGAUGUCUGAGUACUAUAUAAUAGUUAAAACUUUCAACAACGGAUCUCUUGGUUCU
rnacentral:misc_RNA from 1 species